AGACUCUGGCCAAAGAAUGCGUGG
rnacentral:piRNA from 1 species